UCGAGAAUUUUUCUCAAUGGGCGAAAGCCUGAAGGAGCGACGCCGCGUGGGGGAUGACUGGCUUCGGCCCGUAAACCCCUGUCAUUCGGGAUCAAACCCACAGGAUUAACAGUUCUGUGGCUGAUAGUACCGGAAGAGGAAGGGACGGCUAACUCUGUGCCAGCAGCCGCGGUAAUACAGAGGUCCCAAGCGUUGUUCGGAUUCACUGGGCGUAAAGGGUGCGUAGGUGGUGAGGUAAGUUUGAUGUGAAAGCUCCGGGCUUAACCCGGAAAUGGCAUUGAAUACUACCUUGCUAGAGGGUUGGAGGGGAGACUGGAAUUCUCGGUGUAGCAGUGAAAUGCGUAGAUAUCGAGAGGAACACCAGUGGCGAAGGCGAGUCUCUGGACAACUCCUGACACUGAGGCACGAAAGCUAGGGGAGCAAACAGGAUUAGAUACCCCCGUAGUCC
rnacentral:rRNA from 1 species